rnacentral:misc_RNA from 1 species
AAUAAUUCAACCCAUCAAUUAUCAAAAAAAUGCUUUCCUCCCUUUCUCACACCUCUUCUUCCACCACCGCUUUCUUCCUCUCUUCCUCCGCCAAAUUUCUCCGACCCAGAUUCUCUUCUUGUCCUUUCCAGUUCCCAAUUCAUCAAAAACGACACCGUUCUCUGUUUUCUCAUAGCACAGCAGCUUCAAUGGACUCGGCUGCCACCGUUGAUUCAGUUGCUGAUGAUUUAAAGAAACAAAACUUAAAAGGAGUUGAAAUUAAGCUUAAAUUGAAUCUCGAAGAGCUUAAUUGGGAUAACUCUUUUGUUCGUGAACUACCUGGCGACCCCAGAAGUGAUAGUAUUCCAAGAGAGGUGUUGCAUGCUUGCUACACGAAAGUGUUACCCUCUGUACCGGUCAAUAACCCUCAGCUUGUAGCAUGGUCAGAAUCAGUGGCGGAGUUACUUGAAUUGGAUCCUAGAGAAUUUGAGAGGCCUGAUUUUCCCCUUAUUUUCUCUGGGGCAUCACCAUUGGUGGGAGCGAUACCUUAUGCCCAAAAUUAUGGAGGACAUCAGUUUGGCAUGUGGGCCGGGCAGUUAGGGGAUGGUAGGGCAAUAACUCUUGGAGAGAUAUUGAAUUCAAAGUCACAAAGGUGGGAGCUGCAGCUUAAGG